GGCAGCCAUCGAGUGCGGUUUAAUUUAAUUUGGCCUUGUGUAAAGUGACGGGUAGAAUUUCCGGAUUAGAUAUAGCGCUAAAUCCUGUUUACGGGUUUGGCGCUUAGUAUCCGAUAUUGGAUCCGGCCGUUGCUGUAGAGGGAACAAUUCCUCAAGUCACCCAAAAGAAGAGCGAAGUCAGCCGACGGGGGAGGAAUAUUAUCGCCGCAUAAGGGGUCUCAAAGGCCUAAGAGUCCCCCGAGAUAAUUAUUUAAUCAGCCUAAGUCGCUGGGAGCGGAGUUAGGAUAAAGAGAGGGCAAAAGAGUCAAAAAGAACUCGAGAUGUAACACCUGCCCAAAUUACACAUAAUAUUUAUAUUCCCUCUUCAUCAUCUUCGUUAUCUCCCGCCUGCGAGCGUAACUUAGCGAAGCUCAGUUUGACAGGCAGUUUUUCGGCGCGCUGAUCUAGGUUAGACGCUUCGGUCCACGGUCGGACGAAAAUUCAAUUUAACUCGGCGUAUAACAAUAUGGAAUAAUUGUUAAGUCGCCGCACGGGAUGUAAGGCAGUUCAGAAAGGCAAAGAUCGGUCGGAGUUUGCUGAAAGUGGAUAGUUUAUAAGCUAUUUUAUAAGUUUUUUUUUCUUUCCUUUUUUUUGUGGUCUAGGUUAUGGGAAAUAAGCCAGUGAGAGUGAAAGAGUAAGAAAAAGAAGGAAAAGAAGAGGAAAGUGCAGUGAUAGUUAGAAGGCCAGAAAGGCUU